AUACGGAGGGUGCAAGCGUUAAUCGGAAUUACUGGGCGUAAAGAGUACGUAGGUGGUUUAUUAAGUCAGAUGUGAAAGCCCCGGGCUUAACCUGGGAACUGCAUUUGAUACUGGCAAACUAGAGUAUGGUAGAGGCGGGUAGAAUUCCUAGUGUAGCGGUGAAAUGCGUAGAUAUUAGGAGGAAUACCAGUGGCGAAGGCGGCCCGCUGGACCAAUGCUGACACUGAGGUACGAAAGCGUGGGUAGCAAACAGGAUUAGAAACCCCAGUAGUCC
rnacentral:rRNA from 1 species